rnacentral:rRNA from 1 species
UACGAAGGGGGGCUAGCGUUGCUCGGAAUCACUGGGCGUAAAGCGCACGUAGGCGGCUUUCUAAGUCAGGGGUGAAAUCCUGGAGCUCAACUCCAGAACUGCCUUUGAUACUGAGGAUCUUGAGUUCGGGAGAGGUGAGUGGAACUGCGAGUGUAGAGGUGAAAUUCGUAGAUAUUCGCAAGAACACCAGUGGCGAAGGCGGCUCACUGGCCCGAUACUGACGCUGAGGCACGAAAGCGUGGGGAGCAAACAGG